GGACCAUCCUCAGAUCUGAUUGGCUCCUGUAAUGGCUCCAGUCGUCCAAAUCGGAAUGUUCCGUGCACCUCUUAACAGCGAAUCAGAAGAAGAACUGCUGCAGAUCAAAAACAGCUCCCACAAUGUAUUGAGGCCAGAGGACAACACCCUGGAGGUGGUUUCAUCAGAAUACACCCACAGGAAGAAAGAUGAGGAUGAUUGCGACUCAGCGGACACAGACGAAUUGUUCUCCAGAAAACCCCAGAUGAACCAAAACAAAAUUGCUCCAGAAAAAAAGCACAAAAAACAAAAUGGACGCCGCUCUGAAUAUGACUCGAUAGACAAUGGGAACAAAGAGGAUUCCGGGAAGAAGGUGCAGAAAGUCAAGAAAUCUGUUAAGAUGACUGAAGUAAAAAAUGUUCAGCUACAAGAGCGCAAAAUGGAAGACAAGGAGAGUUUAAAGGGACAUGGACAAGAUACUAAAGUAGGAAGCAAGGAUAGGAGAGAGGAGAUGAAACAAGGAGGCAAGGAGGUAGAUUCCGAGGAUGAUUCCGAUUAUGAUUACAACUCUUUGUUUUCCAAUGUUGUUCGAUUAGAAAUGUCGCUAUCGGACCUCGAAAUGUUAGCCGAAAAAUAUGCUCCUGAGGGUUCGACUCCAACUCCCAGAAUCCUCAGUGUGGAUGACAUCAGUGGUUCCUGCACAUCCAAAAAAGGCACAACACCAGAGGAGAUCCUGGCAUCCAUUUUGGAGGGAGGAUCGACUGACGAAGAGGAGAGGAUGGGCAGGAAGAGCAAACAAAAAAAGAGGAGUGUGGCUGUGAUGUCAUUUCCUGCAUUCAGAGGGACCGAAGAGUUAGAGAAAAAGUAUGGAGGAAAGAUGGAGGAGGAAGACGAGGCAAACGCCAGCAGCGAAGGAGAGCGAGAUGAGGUUAGCUCUGCUCAAAGUGAACCCUCCAGCGAUAAUGAAGAGGAUGAAAAGGACGAAGAGGACAACAAAGAUGGUUCAGAAAAAGAAACUUCCAGCAGUGAGCGAGAUGAAGACAGUUCUGAGUUGAGCAGCGAAGAUGAAGAGGAGGAAGCGGCGUCUCAACCAAUCAGAGCCAUUGUUGAUCCAUUGAAAACCAAUCUGAAAAGAUCUGCCCCUGAGGAGGAGGCGGAGCUUCAGAGGAGAGCCAAUGAGAGGAGGCUGGCAGCUGUCCAGCAGAGACAGAAGGAGGCUGAGCAAAAUCGCAAACUAAUCCAGGGGGCGUUGUCCAAA
ensembl:lncRNA